UUUCCGUAGGUGAACCUGCGGAAGGAUCAUUAAAAAUAUCACAUUUGUUUGUGAUUUAAUAAUCAUCUACCCUUUGUGAAUUUGUCUUUGUUUGAAAUUUAUGUUGUCUAUCCUGGAUUAUGAAAGAAAAGUUGUAAAGACUUUUUUUUCAUUCUAGGAAUAGGCUUCAUAGACAUUUUUUUAAAUUAAACUUUUUGUAUUCAUUUGUCUAAGAUUUAUUUUUAAAUAAUUUAAAAACAACUUUGACAAUGGAUCUCUUGUUCUCGCAACGAUGAAGUACGCAGCAAAAUGCGAUAAGUAAUGCGAAUUGCAGAAUACGUGAAUCAUCAAAUUUCGAACGCAUAUUGCACUUUUUAGUUUACUAAAAAAGUAUGUCUGUUUGAGUAUCAGUAAUAUUCUCAUAAAACUAUUGUUUUUAUGGUUAUGAGUGUUUACAACGAUAACAAGUUGUUUCACUUAAUUGAUUUUUUUAAUAAGCCAAUUUGGUUUAUUUUAAAUUGGAUAAAUUUUCCCGUAAAAAGGAAUAAACUUUCAGUUUUAAAGUUAAAACUUAAAUUGACCUACAAAAAAGGAAUUUAAUUAUAAAACUAACUUGAUCUCAAAUCAGAUAAGAGUACCGCUGAACUUAAGCAUAUCAAUAAGCGGAGGAAAAGAAACUAACAAGGAUUCCCUUAGUAACGCGAGUGAAGCGGGAAGAGCUCAAAUUUGAAAUCUUCAAGUUCUACCUUGACGAAUUGUAGUUUAAAGAAGUUUUUCUGUUAGUGGAGUGGCAAAAGUUCUUUGGAAUAGGACAUCAUAGAGGGUGAGAAUCCGUAUUUGUCAUUCUUCUAGCUUUGUGAUACACUUUCAAAGAGUCGGUUGUUUGGAAUGCAGUCCAAAAUGGGUGGUAAAUUUCAUCUAAAGCUAAAUAUUGGCGAGAGACCGAUAGCGAACAAGUACCGUGAGGGAAGAUGAAAAGAACUUUGAAAAGAGAGUUAUACAGUACGUGAAAUUGUCAAAAGGAAGCGUUUGACACCAGUGUUGUUUUUCCGAAAAUCAAUUAUAAAUGUUUUGUUUUCUGAGGAGUGAUGACUUCAUCGGCUUCCUUCUCUCUUCACGAAACUUUUGUAAUGCACUUUUCGUUAACAAGUCAACAUCAAUUUCUUUUGUUGUAAAGAGUAUUCGAAGGUGGCUUUCUUUUCGGAGAAAGUGUUUAUAGCCCUAUACUCUACAAUCGGAGAGAUUGAGGUCUGCAGCGUAGAUCCUUCGGGUUAGAUACACUUGUGCUAAGUUAUAGCUUUUCAUAGACAACUUGUUGACUAUGUUUAGUCUUGUAGCUUACUCGCUUGUGCUAUUUUACCUACGCUUAGGAUGUUGACG
rnacentral:misc_RNA from 1 species